rnacentral:rRNA from 1 species
AUUGAACGCUAGCGGGAUGCCUUACACAUGCAAGUCGAACGGCAGCGCGGACUUCGGUCUGGCGGCGAGUGGCGAACGGGUGAGUAAUGCAUCGGAACGUGCCCAGUAGGUGGGGAUAACCAGUCGAAAGGCUGGCUAAUACCGCAUACGACCUACGGGUGAAAGCGGGGGACCGUAAGGCCCCGCGCUAUUGGAGCGGCCGAUGUAUGAUUAGCUAGUUGGCGGGGUAAGAGCCCACCAAGGCGACGAUCAGUAGCUGGUCUGAGAGGACGACCAGCCACACUGGGACUGAGACACGGCCCAGACUCCUACGGGAGGCAGCAGUGGGGAAUUUUGGACAAUGGGCGCAAGCCUGAUCCAGCCAUGCCGCGUGCGGGAAGAAGGCCUUCGGGUUGUAAACCGCUUUUGGCAGGAACGAAACGGCGCAAGCCAAUACCUUGCGCUAAUGACGGUACCUGCAGAAUAAGCACCGGCUAACUACGUGCCAGCAGCCGCCGCCGUAA